ACACUGUCAGGGCUAGCCUUCCUGCUUACGCGCGCUGCGGAUUGUUGCUCCGUUGUACCUGCUGGGGAAUUCACCUCGUUACUGCUUGAUAUCUUCCACCCCUUACAAAAUCAGUAAAGUUGUGUUUUCUAAUACCAAAGAGGAGGUUUGGCUUUCUGUGGGUGAUUCCCAGACACUGAAGUGCAAAGAAGAGACCCUCCUAGAAAAGUAAAAUAUGACUAAAAGCAAUGGAGAAGAGCCCAAGAUGGGCGGCAGGAUGGAGAGAUUCCAGCAGGGAGUCCGUAAACGCACACUUUUGGCCAAGAAGAAAGUGCAGAACAUUACAAAGGAGGAUGUUAAAAGUUACCUGUUUCGGAAUGCUUUUGUGCUGCUCACUGUCACCGCUGUCAUUGUGGAUGAAAAAACUGAAGCCCAAAUCCUUAUCACACAGCUGAUGAAUACUGAGUGGGAUUCAAAUCCACCGUUCUGGCUCCAGGUGUUCAUUCACCACACUGUUCUGGGUGCUAUAACACCCAUUCUGGCUUUACUCCAGCAAUUUGCUGAGGGUCUGCCUGAGGUAGCAAUGGAAGAGAUGGAAAAGAGAGGUCGAACUGAAAGACCACUGGUGAGACUUGGCAAUUGAUUCAAUGAGAGAAGGUGGACUGCAGACCGAUGGCCCAGUUUCUGGCUUAGGUGGCAGAGUGGCUGAUGACGCCACAUUUGAAGGUAGGAUACAGGAAAAAGACUGGGGCCUUGGGGGUGCACGAGGAUAAGUUCAGUUUGGACCUGUUGAGUUUGUGGUGUGGGAUGCCACCGAGGUAGAUAUACAAUGGAAGAACCUUGCUGCAAAUCAAGACUUAGAAGGUAUUCCUCCAACCUCCAAACUGAACGAAGACAGUUCUGUCUUUGGAUUUCAAGUGAAUAAGGAUCAGUGAAUUGGGCUAUCCUACUGUAUAAAUGAGUCUACUCUGUAAGUGAGUCAAUUCUCAGAACAGUUUCCAUAACUCUAGGGCCCUCUCCUUCAUGCUUAAAAACACUAAUCUUUCAGAAAUGCUAUAGUGGUGUUCUGUGCCUGGAUGUAACUGGCCAAGCCAGUUAGGUCAGCCAAGCAGGUUAAUCAAUGUGGUUUGCUAUCAGCUGCUGGACUGAACUGACCUG
rnacentral:sRNA from 1 species